rnacentral:ncRNA from 1 species
CGAGCAGCGAUGCUCGUCGUCAUGAAGCCCUGACGAGUAGGAGGGUCGCGGCAGUGUGCGCUGAAGGGUCUGGGCGUGAGCCUACCUGGAGCCGCCGUCGGUGCAGAUCUUGGUGGUAGUAGCACAUACUCUAGCGAGGCCCUGGAGGACUGACGUGGAGAAGGGUUUCGUGUAAACAGCCGUUGCACACGAGUCAGUCGAUCCUAAGCCCUAGGAGAAAUCCUAUGUCGAUGACGGUGUAUGUUUCUAAAGUAUUUUUGACUAAAUUGCACACCCGUCGGGCGAAAGGGAAUCCGGUUCCUAUUCCGGAACCCAGCAGCGAAACCGCAUACGAUUCGGGCCCUCCUAAGAGUGUUCGUCGAGGUAACCCAAAGUGACCUGGAGACGCCGUCGGGAGAUCCGGGAAGAGUUUUCUUUUCUGUAUAAGCGUUCGAGUUCCCUGGAAACCUCUAGCAGGGAGAUAGGAUUUGGAACGCGAAGAGCACCGCAGUUGCGGCGGUGUCCGGAUCUUCCCCUCGGACCUUGAAAAUCCAGGAGAGGGCCACGUGGAGGUGUCGCGCCGGUUCGUACCCAUAUCCGCAGCAGGUCUCCAAGGUAAAGAGCCUCUAGUCGAUAGACUAAUGUAGGUAAGGGAAGUCNUAAGGAGUGUGUAACAACUCACCUGCCGAAGCAACUAGCCCUGAAAAUGGAUGGCGCUGAAGCGUCGCGCCUAUACUCGGCCGUCAGAGGCAAGUGGGGCGGCGAGCAGCGAUGCUCGUCGUCAUGAAGCCCUGACGAGUAGGAGGGUCGCGGCGGUGUGCGCAGAAGGGUCUGGGCGUGAGCCUGCCUGGAGCCGCCGUCGGUGCAGAUCUUGGUGGUAGUAGCAAAUACUCCAGCGAGGCCCUGGAGGACUGACGUGGAGAAGGGUUUCGUGUGAACAGCCGUUGCACACGAGUCAGUCGAUCCUAAGCCCUAGGAGAAAUCCUAUGUCGAUGACGGUGUAUGUUUCUAAAGUAUUUUUUGACUAAAGUGCACACCCGUCGGGCGAAAGGGAAUCCGGUUCCUAUUCCGGAACCCGGCAGCGGAACCGCAUACAAUUCGGGCCCUCGUAAGAGUGUUCGUCGGGGUAACCCAAAGUGACCUGGAGACGCCGUCGGGAGAUCCGGGAAGAGUUUUCUUUUCUGUAUAAGCGUUCGAGUUCCCUGGAAACCUCUAGCAGGGAGAUAGGGUUUGGAACGCGAAGAGCACCGCAGUUGCGGCGGUGUCCGGAUCUUCCCCUCGGACCUUGAAAAUCCAGGAGAGGGCCACGUGGAGGUGUCGCGCCGGUUCGUACCCAUAUCCGCAGCAGGUCUCCAAGGUAAAGAGCCUCUAGUCGAUAGACUAAUGUAGGUAAGGGAAGUCGGCAAAUUGGAUCCGUAACUUCGGAAUAAGGAUUGGCUCUGAGGAGCGGGGCGCGUCGGGCUUGGUCGGGAAGUGGGUCUGGCUGACGUGCCGGGCCUGGGCGAGGUGAAUGACCCUCCUUCACGGGGGGGUCGGGAUCCGAGCUCGGUACCGUGCCUUGGCCUCCCGCGGAUCUUCCUUGCUGCGAGGCUUUUGGGGCGGUUACGCCGUCCUGAUCGUUCUCUUCGGCCGCCAUUCAACGCUCAGCUCAGAACUGGCACGGACUAGGGGAAUCCGACUGUCUAAUUAAAACAAAGCAUUGCGAUGGCCCUCGCGGGUGAUGACGCAAUGUGAUUUCUGCCCAGUGCUCUGAAUGUCAACGUGAAGAAAUUCAAGCAAGCGCGGGUAAACGGCGGGAGUAACUAUGACUCUCUUAAGGUAGCCAAAUGCCUCGUCAUCUAAUUAGUGACGCGCAUGAAUGGNGCGGAACCGCAUACAAUUCGGGCCCUCGUAAGAGUGUUCGU